UUUUCAACUUUUCAUGGAAUUAUUUGCAGGAAACAAACUUGAUGCUUUAUUGGAAGGGAAGCUCCAGAACAUGAUCUUGCAAAUGAUCUGUCACAGACAAGAUGUGCAAUAGUAUCUGCAUGUAAUUUUGGAAAAGUUUGUGUUACUAGUUAGGAACUAUUGUUAAGUUGUCGCUUGUUCUAAACAUAGCACCCUUUUAUUCAUUAUUUACACCAAAGCUAACGGGACAUACUAUUUAAUUUAAAAGUUGUGAAAUAAAUGUGGUGGAUAGUCAUGCCAAUCAUGAGAAUAUGCUUACCUCAAAUAAAGGCAAACAUUUAGAAAGGUGACAAGUCAUC